CCUAGCUGCCUCAUCAUUUACAAAGGAGGAAAUUGUGACUCAGACCUUCACACUAUGAGCUUCCAUGCAAUCACGGCAAGAUUGAAGGCUGAAAUGAACAGAAGUAAAAGAACCACAAUGAAAUGAAAAGAUUAUGAAAAAGAUGCUCAACGUGGAGUACCUCAAAAAAACAAUGAGAUGUAAUGAAGCACAUCUCCAUCUUCACAGCAGAGAAUGGUGGGGACUAGGAGGGCUGAAUGUUGUAUACAUUGUCAAUUGUGGUUACUGUAUUGCAUGUUUUUAUUUAACUUUUUUUUUUAAUCAUAAGGGAGGGUUUGAUCAGGAAAGAGAAGAUGGAUUAUUUCUUAAUUUCUGUGAAUAACUCCGAUAUAAGGACAAAAUCAAGCAAUAUAGUAAAUUUAAAAAAAACAACCCACAACCAAUAACAUAGCACCUAGAAUUGAACAAAGAAUUCCAGAUAUGAUUUGAUCAGUGACCAGGUACAGAAGUCCUGUCACCUUCUCAGUUCUGGAUACUAUGCCUCUUGAAGUGCUGCCCACAAUCACAUUGGGUUUUUGGCUGUCAUAUUAUACUGCUGACUCAUAUUGAGUUUGCAGCCCACUAAGACCCCUAGAUCUUUUUCUGACUGCUAUUUUGCAAUACUUUCCAAUUUGGAAAUUGAUUUGUUUAACCUAGAUGUAUUCCCAUCAAUUUUCACUUGAUUAGAUUUUUGGACCAUGACUCAGUCAUCUCAUUCCUUAUCUAUUGUGGUAGUCUGGAAAACCUUUGGAAUAGCUAUCUCUCCUGAUUUUGUAAGCAAAUAUUAUUAGUAUGUCUUUAUACAAAUCAUUUAUAAAAAUGUUAAACAGCCAGGGGCCGAGCCUGGAUCCCUGGAUCAUUUCUCUGGAAA